rnacentral:tRNA from 1 species
GAUGAAGCUAAACAUGUAUAAACUUCUUAAGUAAGAUUUAUGGACGCGGGUUCAAAUCCCGCCGCCUCCA